CGGCGGACGGGUGAGUAACGCGUGGGUAACCUGCCUUAUACAGGGGGAUAACAGUUAGAAAUGACUGCUAAUACCGCAUAAGCGCACAGUACCGCAUGUUAGUGUGUGAAAAACUCCGGUGGUAUAAGAUGGACCCGCGUCUGAUUAGUCAGUUGGCGGGGUAACGGCCCACCAAAGCGACGAUCAGUAGCCGACCUGAGAGGGUGACCGGCCACAUUGGGACUGAGACACGGCCCAAACUCCUACGGGAGGCAGCAG
rnacentral:rRNA from 1 species